rnacentral:rRNA from 1 species
AUACGGAGGGUGCGAGCGUUGUUCGGAAUUAUUGGGCGUAAAGAGCAUGUAGGCGGUCUGUUAAGUCUGGUGUGAAAGCCCGGGGCUCAACCCCGGAAGUGCAUUGGAUACUGGCAGACUUGAGUAUGGGAGAGGAAAGCGGAAUUCCGAGUGUAGGAGUGAAAUCCGUAGAUAUUCGGAGGAACACCAGUGGCGAAGGCGGCUUUCUGGACCAAUACUGACGCUGAGAUGCGAAAGCGAGGGGAGCAAACAGGAUUAGAAACCCCAGUAGUCC